UAAACAUGCAGUCGAGCGGUAGCACAGAGAGCUUGCUCUCGGGUGACGAGCGGCGGACGGGUGAGUAAUGUCUGGGAAACUGCCUGAUGGAGGGGGAUAACUACUGGAAACGGUAGCUAAUACCGCAUAACGUCGCAAGACCAAAGUGGGGGACCUUCGGGCCUCAUGCCAUCAGAUGUGCCCAGAUGGGAUUAGCUGGUAGGUGGGGUAACGGCUCACCUAGGCGACGAUCCCUAGCUGGUCUGAGAGGAUGACCAGCCACACUGGAACUGAGACACGGUCCAGACUCCUACGGGAGGCAGCAGUGGGGAAUAUUGCACAAUGGGCGCAAGCCUGAUGCAGCCAUGCCGCGUGUGUGAAGAAGGCCUUCGGGUUGUAAAGCACUUUCAGCGGGGAGGAAGGCGGUGAGGUUAAUAACCUCACCGAUUGACGUUACCCGCAGAAGAAGCACCGGCUAACUCCGUGCCAGCAGCCGCGGUAAUACGGAGGGUGCAAGCGUUAAUCGGAAUUACUGGGCGUAAAGCGCACGCAGGCGGUCUGUCAAGUCGGAUGUGAAAUCCCCGGGCUCAACCUGGGAACUGCAUUCGAAACUGGCAGGCUAGAGUCUUGUAGAGGGGGGUAGAAUUCCAGGUGUAGCGGUGAAAUGCGUAGAGAUCUGGAGGAAUACCGGUGGCGAAGGCGGCCCCCUGGACAAAGACUGACGCUCAGGUGCGAAAGCGUGGGGAGCAAACAGGAUUAGAUACCCUGGUAGUCCACGCUGUAAACGAUGUCGAUUUGGAGGUUGUGCCCUUGAGGCGUGGCUUCCGGAGCUAACGCGUUAAAUCGACCGCCUGGGGAGUACGGCCGCAAGGUUAAAACUCAAAUGAAUUGACGGGGGCCCGCACAAGCGGUGGAGCAUGUGGUUUAAUUCGAUGCAACGCGAAGAACCUUACCUGGUCUUGACAUCCACAGAACUUUCCAGAGAUGGAUUGGUGCCUUCGGGAACUGUGAGACAGGUGCUGCAUGGCUGUCGUCAGCUCGUGUUGUGAAAUGUUGGGUUAAGUCCCGCAACGAGCGCAACCCUUAUCCUUUGUUGCCAGCGGUUAGGCCGGGAACUCAAAGGAGACUGCCAGUGAUAAACUGGAGGAAGGUGGGGAUGACGUCAAGUCAUCAUGGCCCUUACGACCAGGGCUACACACGUGCUACAAUGGCAUAUACAAAGAGAAGCGACCUCGCGAGAGCAAGCGGACCUCAUAAAGUAUGUCGUAGUCCGGAUUGGAGUCUGCAACUCGACUCCAUGAAGUCGGAAUCGCUAGUAAUCGUAGAUCAGAAUGCUACGGUGAAUACGUUCCCGGGCCUUGUACACACCGCCCGUCACACCAUGGGAGUGGGUUGCAAAAGAAGUAGGUAGCUUAACCUUCGGGAGGGCGCUUACCACUUUGUGAUUCAUGACUGGGGUGA
rnacentral:rRNA from 2 species